CGUGUAGGCGGUCCGGUAAGUCCGCUGUGAAAGUCGGGGGCUCAACCCUCGGAUGCCGGUGGAUACUGUUGGGCUUGAGUACGGAAGAGGCGAGUGGAAUUCCUGGUGUAGCGGUGAAAUGCGCAGAUAUCAGGAGGAACACCAAUUGCGAAGGCAGCUCGCUGGGACGUUACUGACGCUGAGACGCGAAAGCGUGGGAGCAAACA
rnacentral:rRNA from 1 species